rnacentral:rRNA from 1 species
GACGAACGCUGGCGGCGUGCCUAACACAUGCAAGUCGAGCGGGGGUAGUACUUCGGUACAAACCUAGCGGCGGACGGGUGAGUAACAAGUGGGUAACCUGCCUCAAAGUGGGGGAUAGCCUUCCGAAAGGAAGAUUAGUACCGCAUAACCCAUAGCUUCCGCAUGGAAACAACGGUAAAGAUUUAUCGCUUUGAGAUGGACCCGCGGCGCAUUAGCUAGUUGGUGAGGUAACGGCUCACCAAGGCCACGAUGCGUAGCCGACCUGAGAGGGUGAUCGGCCACAUUGGAACUGAGACACGGUCCAGACUCCUACGGGAGGCAGCAGUGGGGAAUAUUGCACAAUGGGCGAAAGCCUGAUGCAGCAACGCCGCGUGAGUGAUGAAGGCCUUCGGGUUGUAAAGCUCUGUCUUUUGGGACGAUAAUGACGGUACCAAAGGAGGAAGCCACGGCUAACUACGUGCCAGCCGCCGCCGUAAAAC